UGAUUGAGUAGAGGUGCGGAAUUCAAGAGUACUUUGCGGGAUGACUUAGAGCAGUGGAUCGCAUGGAAAAGGGGAAACCGCCGAAGGACGACAGAUGUCUAAGCACUGGAAUCCUGGUUGUGCAAUGAAGAAUUGUAUGACUGUCAUUUGUAAGCAUGCAGAUGGAGCGCUACCGGAAUU
rfam:Clostridium sp. CAG:127 genomic scaffold, scf68